UACAGAGGGUGCAAGCGUUAAUCGGAAUUACUGGGCGUAAAGCGUGCGUAGACGGUUGCGUAAGUCAGAUGUGAAAGCCCCGGGCUCAACCUGGGAAUUGCAUUUGAGACUGCGUAGCUAGGGUGCGGAAGAGGGAAGCGGAAUUUCCGGUGUAGCGGCGAAAUGCGCAGAUAUCAGGAGGAACACCUAUUGCGAAGGCAGCUCGCUGGGACGUUACUGACGCUGAGACGCGAAAGCGUGGGGAGCAAACAGG
rnacentral:rRNA from 1 species